rnacentral:rRNA from 1 species
AGAGUUUGAUCAUGGCUCAGCCUGAACGCUGGCGGCGUGGCUAAGACAUGCAAGUCGAACGGGUGUAGCAAUACACCAGUGGCGGACGGGUGAGUAAUGAAUCGCUAAUGUACCCCUGAGUCAGGGAUAGCUAGCCGAAAGGUUAGGUAAUACCUGAUAAAAUGUCCCGGUGGCAUCACCGAGGACCUCAAAGGCGCAAGCCGCUCUAGGAGCAGGCGAUUUUGUAUCAGCUUGUUGGUGAGGUAACGGCUCACCAAGGCGAUGACGCAUAGCUGGUCUGAGAGGACGGCCAGCCACAUUGGGACUGAGACACUGCCCAGACUCCUACGGGGGGCUGCAGUAACGAAUCUUCCGCAAUGCACGAAAGUGUGACGGAGCGACGCCGCGUGGAGGACGAAGUUCUUCGGAAUGUAAACUCCUGUCAGGGGUAAGAAAGUUCUGAUCUACCCCAGAGGAAGGCACGGCUAACUCUGUGCCAGCAGCCGCGGUAAGACAGAGGUGCCGAGCGUUAGGCGGAAUCACUGGGCUUAAAGCGUGUGUAGGCGGAUUCCUAAGUACCUUGUGAAAUCCCACGGCUUAACCGUGGAACUGCUUGGUAUACUGGGUGUCUUGAGCCAACUAGGGGCGACCGGAACAAACGGUGGAGCGGUGAAAUGCGUAGAUAUCGUUUGGAACGCCAAUGGUGAAAACAGGUCGCUGGGGUUGUGCUGACGCUGAGACACGAAAGCCAGGGGAGCGAACGGGAUUAGAUACCCUAGUAGUCC